GACGAACGCUGGCGGCGUGCUUAACACAUGCAAGUCGAACGGAAAGGCCCUGCUUUUGUGGGUUGCUCGAGUGGCGAACGGGUGAGUAACACGUGAGUAACCUGCCCUUGACUUUGGGAUAACUUCAGGAAACUGGGGCUAAUACCGGAUAGGAGCUCCUGCUACAUGGUGGGGGUUGGAAAGUUUCGGCGGUUGGGGAUAGACUCGCGGCUUAUCAGCUUGUUGGUGAGGUAGUGGCUUACCAAGGCUUUGACGGGUAGCCGGCCUGAGAGGGUAGACGGGCACAAGGGGACUGAGAGACGGCGCAGAAGGGAACGGGAGGCAGUGGGGGGGAGUAUGACGCAGUGAGGGGGAGCCUGAUGCAGCGACGCCGCGAGCGGGAUAACGGCCUUCGAGUGAUAAACAGAUUUGGCAGGUGACGAAGAGUGAGUGACGGUAAUGGGUAAAGAAGCACCGGCUAACUACGUG
rnacentral:rRNA from 1 species